rnacentral:tRNA from 1 species
UUCCUGGUGGCUUAGUGGUAAAGAAUCUGCCUGCCAGUGCAGGAGUCACGGAUUUGAUCCCUGUCCAGGAAU